GCGAGUCAGUGAUGAAUAAAUUACCUACAUUGUUUGAUUCAGAUGAUAAGAAAUAUUAUCUGAGACUUGC
rnacentral:snoRNA from 1 species